UUAGCCACCCCCCUCCACAGCCCCUUUCUUACCUUAGAUAUAGCAGAGGGGUUGGGACUGGGGAGGAAGGACUAGUUGUGCUGGGCCCUCGCCAAAGAUUUUCCAAAACCCUUUUUCAGCCAGAUAUUGAUUUGGCUAAUCUAAAGGAGGCCCCCAUACAUGGUCCAAUGAACUGCCAAGUGUGUAUAACCACCUUACCAGACCUGGAGGAGAACUGAAUUUUAAACACUGUCAGAGUCAGAAAGGGUUAAACAAGUGUACAAAUAACUAAAAUUGUAUCAUGUAAAUAGAGCACUUGAGAGGCAUGUUGUGUAAACAUGUUGUGUAAGGCACAUUAAAUAAACAGGAACAGAAAGAAAGUUAUAUUGCCUUUCUUUGAUUUACCAGCCAUUCCAUAUUGUUGUUUUAACAUGUAGAAAUAAGGCAUGAAUUAAGGGUUGAUGCAUAGUGUCUGUUAGGCUAAGCGCUGAAGACCUAUCUAACUAAUGUAUAUUGGAGAACUACAUUUUUUAUUUCAUUAUACAAAAAAGUGUGUACUUUUUGUGCAAAUUCCCUUUAACACAGGAGGAAGAAGGUCCUUGCCUCACAGAGCUCUUCUAACUGUAUCUUUUACUGUUUUUCUGCUCUGUGCUUCUUCCUUGAUAAACAGUUCCUUCCUAAUGAAUAAUUUACCCAGUUAAUAAAAUGGCUAAAAUGCCAUACAUGGGAUAUGUGCCAAAUUCAAGGAGCAACUCUCCCAGUCUUCAAAAUUGGUUUCCAUGCUGAAAGUAGUAAUAGGUUAAGUGAUGGUGUGACAGUUGUUAUCUGGGAAUGUAUAUUGAACAGUAUUUGGGCAUUGUGUAUUUCUAGGCCUCAAAGAUGAAGAAAAGGAAGGUGAUACGGAACAAAAUAAAACAACUACUGAUAAUGUGGAGAAUGGACAGACUCAACCAGCUUAUGAAAAUGUAUCUUUUUGGAACAAAGGUUUCCAAUAUUCAGAAGAGGAAACCAAUCAAAAAACAAAUAAAUCAGGCCACAUGGAGAACAUGAAUAUCAAUUCAAAGGCAAAGCACAGCAACUUGUCUUUUAGUAACAGAGGCUUUAAAGAAGAGGAUAAAAGGCAGGAAAUAAAUAAAACAAGUGCUGGU